GUUUCUAUUGCUGUUUUGAGACCCUAAAAACAGUAUAUUUUGAAUCUUAGUGAUACUCCCCAUUUAAGGUUUCUAUCUGACAGACAGGUAAUAUUCAUUCAUUCAAUAUUUGAGCACUCACUAUGUGCCAGGCAUAUGGGAAUAUGCCUGUGAAUAGGACAGACAUUCCCUGCCCUUAUGGGUCUUACAGUUAAAGGCGAAAACAGAUAUAUAAAACUUUUAUAAGCAAUUGGAUAAUUAUAAUGCAGAUAUGUGCUGUGAUGGAAAAGUCCAGGUGUGAUGAGGUUUAUAUUCACACAGGUUGGGAAAGUCUCUAUUGAAGAAGUAACAUUAAGUUGAGCCCUGAAGGACAAUGAGGAGCUAGUGAGGGAAAGGGUGCAGAGCAGGGAGCAGGAGGAAAAGACAACAGAAUUUCAGGAAAGGGAACGGCAUGAGAAAAAAAAGUGCUGAAAGUGAGAAGGAACCCUAAGAAGGCCAUCAUGGCAUGGAGUCACUUGUGGGGAGAGUGGCUCAAGGUGAGGCUUUCAAGGCCGUGUUAAGAAUUUUAAAAGGUUCUAGAAGCAACAGAAGCUAUGAUGAAUUCUAAGUGGAUCUGGUCAUUACCAGGCUAAUGGAUUAUAGAGGGCACCUUGGCUGUUGAGGACAGAUUAGAGGCCGUGGCAAGCGAUAAACUAGGGAGAGAAGUGAGGAGGCUAUUUCUGCAGACCAAGAACAAGACUUGGGGGAUGGACUGGGUGUGGAGAUAGAGGGAAAGGGAGGUGUCAAGUUGAUCCAGCUUCCUUCACGAGAGUCUGAGGGGUGGUCCUGCAUUUACCAAGAUGGAGAACAUUGGUUUGGAGGGAUGGUCAAGGAUUCCACAUAAACCCACUGUGGAAUUCAUACCCAACCGUGAUGGAAAGAAUGAAUCCUAUGAAAUGCACAAAUACCAACAAAUGUCAGCUGAUGCCAUCUGGAUGAUCAAUCCAGGCCUCCACUACUGUGGUCUUUGGACAAGAAGAAGAGUUCAAAAAUCAAUGCAAAAAACUCUGAAAUUCGGCCAAAUUCCCAUUAAAAUGCUUACUAUCUCUAGCUUGUUCUGGAGUUGAAGGAAUUUUUGAUUCCAGACAUCUUAACACAGGAUAAUUUAGUUCAUACCCAUGGCCCGUACUGGGUAAAAGCUCACAGCCUCUGAGGGAGAUAUAUCCGGUGGCAGAAGGUCCGUGUCAUCCCUGAUGAUUUCCUUUUGAACAAAGAUUACUCUUCUAUCAAGGUCGCCAGGCACCAAUCCCAUGGAGCAGUGCCUUGUGUCUAAGGAUUAAUUGGCAAGGGUUAACAUCCACCAGAACCAUCACUCCAUUCACUGAAGAUUGCCCAAGUGCCAGGCACUGCACUAGCACUUUGCACGCACGAUUGAGUUUGCUUCCCUGCCCAGCGUCUUAACAGGUUCAAACUCAGAUUGAAACCCGCAAAGCCUGUGUUCUUUUCAUUUGGGAUUUGAUAAUUGUAAAUAGUACAUUAUUUGUGAGAGUUAUUCACACUUGCUAAAGGAAGGUCUUAUUGUUAGGCAAACAAACAAAUCAACCAAUAGAUAAAUAAAAAGCACAACAAUUUCA
rnacentral:lncRNA from 1 species